UACGGAGGGUGCAAGCGUUGCUCGGAAUUAUUGGGCGUAAAGGGUAGGUAGGUGGUCUCGUUUGUCUGGGGUGAAAGCCUUGAGCUUAACUCAAGAAGUGCCCCAGAAACGGCGAGACUAGAGUCCUGGAGAGGGUCGUGGAAUUCCCGGUGUAGCGGUGAAAUGCGUAGAGAUCGGGAGGAACACCAGAGGCGAAGGCGGCGACCUGGACAGGUACUGACACUCAACUACGAAAGCGCGGGGAGCAAACAGG
rnacentral:rRNA from 1 species